rnacentral:rRNA from 1 species
ACGACGCUGGCGGCGUGCCUAAUACAUGCAAGUCAACGGCUUUUCUAUGGAAGCUUGCUUCCACUGAGAAGAUAGUGGCGAACGGGUGAGUAACACGUGGGUAACCCUGCCCAUAAGAGGGGGGAUAACAUCCGGAAACGGGUGCUAAUACCGCAUAGUUUUCUUGAUCGCAUGAUCGGGAAAGGAAAGACGGCCUUUGUGCUGUCGCUUAUGGAUGGACCCGCGGCGUAUUAGUUAGUUGGUGAGGUAACGGCUCACCAAGACGAUGAUACGUAGCCGACCUGAGAGGGUGAUCGGCCACAUUGGGACUGAGACACGGCCCAAACUCCUACGGGAGGCAGCAGUAGGGAAUCUUCCGCAAUGGACGAAAGUCUGACGGAGCAACGCCGCGUGAGUGAAGAAAGGUUUUCGGAUCGUAAAACUCUGUUGUCAGAGAAGAACAAGUUGGAGAGUAACUGCUCCAGCCUUGACGGUAUCUGACCAGAAAGCCACGGCUAACUACGUGCCAGCCGCCGC